AGUGAACGCUGGCGGUAGGCCUGACACAUGCAAGUCGAACGGCAGCACAGUAAGAGCUUGCUCUUACGGGUGGCGAGUGGCGGACGGGUGAGGAAUACAUCGGAAUCUACUUUUUCGUGGGGAUAACGUAGGGAAACUUACGCUAAUACCGCAUACGACCUACGGGUGAAAGCAGGGGAUCUUCGGACCUUGCGCGAUUGAAUGAGCCGAUGUCGGAUUAGCUAGUUGGCGGGGUAAAGGCCCACCAAGGCGACGAUCCGUAGCUGGUCUGAGAGGAUGAUCAGCCACACUGGAACUGAGACACGGUCCAGACUCCUACGGGAGGCAGCAGUGGGGAAUAUUGGACAAUGGGCGCAAGCCUGAUCCAGCCAUACCGCGUGGGUGAAGAAGGCCUUCGGGUUGUAAAGCCCUUUUGUUGGGAAAGAAAAGCAGCAGGUUAAUACCCCGCUGUUCUGACGGUACCCAAAGAAUAAGCACCGGCUAACUUCGUG
rnacentral:rRNA from 1 species